rnacentral:rRNA from 1 species
ACAGAGGUCCCGAGCGUUGUUCGGAUUCACUGGGCGUAAAGGGUGCGCAGGUGGGUUUGCAAGUUUGAUGUGAAAGCCCCGGGCUUAACCCGGGAAUGGCAUUGAAUACUGCAGAUCUGGAGGAUCGGAGGGGGGACUGGAAUUCUUGGUGUAGCAGUGAAAUGCGUAGAUAUCGUGAGGAACACCAGAGGCGAAGGCGGUUUCCUGGACAGUUACUGACGCUCAGACACGAAAGCAUGGGGAGCAAAAGGGA